CGUGCCCCGCGGAAUUCGCGUCGACCCCUCCGGUAUCGGUGGGUGAGGAGAGCCUCGAGCGCCUCCCCCGCCACAGGCGGAGCCGGGGACCAGCCCCCUUUCCCGCGGGGGCAGGAUGGAGAGGAGCCUUAGCGCGGACGAUUACAUAAAUUGGAUGGCUCUUCCCUGAUGCUCCAUAAAUGGCCACUGGUCCUAAAUUAGUAUGUCGGUACUAUGAUUGAAGAAUAUGAAGUCCUUGGUUAUAAUGUUUGCAAUCCAGUUCAACAGCACUUAAAUAAAUUUCUUCUGCAUGAGACAGUUUUGGGUUGGGUUGUUCUUUCAUCUUAAGUAACUCUGGCCUUCUAAUACAACUUCUCAGACUUUCUUCAAAACAGUAAAGUUUCUUUCUGUUACAGACUCCUCUAUAUUAUUGCCAGUCCUUUGUUGAUAUACUUGUGGUGCCUCUGUCUCUCUUGUUAAAAGCAGGAGUAUGGCAGCUGAGAAGAUUCUGAUCACACUCAGCAGUAGUUGCACUGACACACUGUUUGCAAGCAGCUGGUUACUAGAGGCUGAAGCCAAUGUCAUCAUUUUGUUUGUGUUAUCAUGCUGAGUCCAAACUUUGGCAUUUAAAUACAACCAGAUGUUCCUUAGCAGAGCUACUUUGAAUGCAGCAUGUUACAGUGCAACCCCAGUAGAGCUGAUCCCACCCUUCCAUUUCUGCUUUUAGUGCACUCCUGUUACUUUUCUCUUAAUUACUGGAUUACCAUGAAACUCUUGGGCCUUUAAUAAAAGUUCUCUAUGAUUUUAUUUAGAGAACUUACGGUAACACAAUACUUUAC